CUUCUAUUACCUCUGUCCCAAAAAGCUUGUCUUAGAUUUAUCUAGAUAUGGAUGUAUCUAACACUAAAACAUGUCUAGAUAAAUCCGUAUCUUGACAAAUCUAAGACAAGCUUUUUGGGACGGAGGGAGUGUCAU
rfam:Triticum urartu cultivar G1812 contig699180, whole genome shotgun sequence.